UGUCAGGUACCAUUUUUAUCUUGAUACUUUUAUUUUCAUUUUGCAAUAGUGGAAUAAAUCGACAGGCGUAGUCUCACGUAGAACCGAGGAAGAAUAAGCAAGAAGAGAGAGCCGGUCAAGCCGAGCCUAGGGCAUCAAAGAUUUAAGCUUCGUAUCUCUUAAAGCCGUCAUUCGUCCCUUACACGCCCACUCGUACAUGUCUCCUACCCUCCAUUGUCUCGGUUCUACCGAACGGUAAACUAUUUAUCAGCAGUCUGAAACGAGUUACCGCGAAUGUGCAUUUCGCCGCAGCAGCUUUUUCUCGAUUCACGUACUCGCGUGAAUGUUUCAAGGACAGGUACUUCUCGGUUUACGUGAACUUCGGCUACUUCCACCUAAAAAGGGUGAUUCAAGGAACGGGGAGCGACAGCUCGAGGACUCUACGUCCUCUGUUGAAUACAGGAAAUUUUUAGAAAUAGGUAAAAAACGAGGAAUAUUUAGCAGAGAUAUGUGGUUUGGAAGGUCUCGAUGCUAGUUGAAAUGCGAGACGCUUCCUUGGAGCUCGUUCAACUCGCUACAUAAUGCAGCUGGUUAUAUUGAAUACUCCGCGGCAAAGUGAUAAAGAAAUCCGCGAAAAGCUCCCUAGACUGACGUUUACGGAAUAUUAGAUAGACGUGUUUCAGAAGGAUUUGAACGUAUUUCAUUCUCUUCCGCAAUUUUUCAUUGGGGAAAAAUGGGGUUUAACGAUUCUUGAUCGAUAAAACGCGAUAAAUCGUACAAAGGGUGGGUAACCACCCUUAUGAAAUGCUCCAUUUCCCCUUUAAGCUAAUAUCGUUCGAACGGCUACUUACGGCCACUGAUUUGUAAUGCAAUUUUCUGCCUAGCUAAAGUCUCGGAUAAAAAUAACGUUUCCCUAUUAAUUCGAUAAGGAUUGUCUGAAUUUUCCUAUUACUCACCUGUUCUAUUUUCUGGACAGAAGAUAAAUAAGUAAAAAUCAUUGCCCAUGAUCGUGGAAUCGCGUGACCGCGUUUCGUGACGCGAUUCACCCUCAGAAAACAAGGAAAAACAGAAGGGAAAAGCCCAGACGAUUUACGCUCGUGAAUUUUUUGCUAUUCCCGUAUUCUCGGUUCUCCAACCCCGGUGACCUUAAUACCUUCCCCAGUCAAUUAUGAAAACUGAAAUACGAGGAAAGUUUCCUGUUCGUAAUAGAUCCGUUUUCUCGUUCUUCGAUCGACGUCCAAGAUGGCGGAUACAUCGAUAGGGUAUCCAUUCGGGAGUGGAUGCGUGUAAAUGUGCUCCGCUCGCAUCUUUAGGGUGAAAAUAUGCCCGCCUGUUCCGGAUAUAUCGCGUCGCUUCGUGCUGUUGCGAUAUUACGCUGGAGGAUAUAAAAGGGGAGAAUAUAAACGCGUGGCACGAACUUAUGCUAUCGAAUUACGGUCAUCGUUUUUCUGUCACGUGUAUUAGACUUCGUCUGCCUUUACUUGCUUCGAUAUUUUUCUUUCUUUGUCUAUUGACUACAAUUUGACGUCCGUUAAAAUUUAAGGAUAUUAAAAUAUUUUAUGUUUAGCUAGGCUAUGCAAUGUUUAGGAUAAAGCAAGUUUUGGGACAAACUUUAAUAUUGUAGUGAAAGUUGUAACAUUUGCAAUGUGCAACAGAGACAUUAAGGUCAAUAGACAAUUUAAUAUGUGUUCAUUCUUUUCUUCUUUUCUCAAUUAACUUGCUAUACUAUUUGUCAUAUGUUCAUAGCUUAAAAUUGAAGAAAAUUAAGAUAUUUUAUAUUCAGCAAGGCUAUGCAAAGUUUAGGAAUAAAGCAAGUUUUGGGACAAACUUUAAUAUUGUAGUCAAGUUUGCAACAUCUGCAAUGUGCAACAAGGACAUUAAGGCCAAUAAACAAUUUAAUAUUUGUUUAUUCUUUUCUUCUUUUCUCAAUUAACUUGCUGUACUAUUUGUCACAUGUUCAUAGCUUAAAAUUGAAGAAAAUUAAGAUAUUUUAUAUUCAGCAAGGCUAUGCAAAGUUUAGGAAUAAAGCAAGUUUUGGGACAAACUUUAAUAUUGUAGUCAAGUUUGCAACAUUUGCAAUGUGCAACAGGGACAUUAAGGUCAAUGUACAAUUUAACAUUUGUUUAACUAAAAAUUAUAAACUUGUAUCAACUUUAAAAUGUCAGUCAAGUUUGCAACAUUUCUAAUGAGGAACAGGGACACUAAGGUCAAUGUACAAUUUAACAUAUGUUUAACUAAAAAUUACAAACGUGUAUCAACUUUAAAAUGUCAGUCAAGUUUGCAACAUUUUCAACGUGCAGUAGACAUUAAGGUCAAUGAACAUUUUAACAUUUGUUUAAUCAAAAGUCACAGAAAUUACCUCAAGUAAAGCGAAAGUUUUAAACCUGUUGCGUCCAAAAUACCGUAAACGCAGAAACUAAUCGAUGAAACCGCUUACGAAAAUCAAUCCCAAGAAAUAUAUUUGAGACACCGCAGGAAUACGAGCUAAUAUUUCUCGAAGGGAGAAAAAGGUACGGUGAAAUUUCCGUGCUUUUUUCCCAUGGCGACCGCAAUUUAGCCGACAGGGACGUACAUAACGCGUGCCCUUGGGGGUCCAAUAUCGAUUUCCGUCUGGCCUCUAGCGUAAUACCUACCUGUAUCUGCUCCUUUUCUUCGCAACCUAUUUUUUCGAAAGAUAAGGAAUUUAGGGAAAGAAUGCAUCUUUUCUUCGAAUGAUCCAUCUUUGGGAGAUAUAAGAGUGGAAACUUUUAUAUGGACAAAAAGUCACGUGUAAUAAUGAUAAUGAUAAUGAUAAUCGUAUUAACUAAGGUAGUGACAAAAAUAAAUCGCAACGAUACAAAUAAGUCUUACGGUUCAUAAAUUAAUAGUAAUUCCGCCUUUCUCCCGCGGGACAUCUUCUUGCCGCUCUUCCCUCGAUUUCUUCGUUCCUUCCUUCGGGAGUCCCUCUAUGCCGGUAUCGCGCUUUCGUGACUAGACAGACUAGUUUCGAAAUCGUCGAAAACGUGGAGCAUGUUACAACGUAGAUAUAUUUUAAGUUCAAGACCAAGCUCCAUACCGUGCUCGACGUUUUUGGCGAUGUAACAAUUCUAAUUUGACGCUCGUAUAAUAAAAAUACACUCGUAAUAUAUACAGCGUUUGUACUCGAAAUAAAGCGCUCGAUGGAAUGAUAAAACGUUGCGCUAACAUAAGAAGUUGGUUAUCCAUGACAGCCUUUUGUUCCUUCCCUCGUUGAAAGAAUUGGAAAACGCUUGUAUCGCAUAAGUGGAAUGAUUCCGCAAAAUAAAUCCGAAAGAUUCUAGAAAUCGAGAAAGCGAGCGUACUUGUUGGCGCUAAUUAACCCCUCGCUCGAGUUAGGCCACAUCGUCGUCGACCUACGGAAACUGAUUCGUACACUUUGUUUCCGUGUUAUCGACAGAGAAUAACGCUUCUUGGAAAUUCGUUGCAAUAACGUUUACGGGUGAAAAUACGCCUCUCUCCCUUUUUGUCGUUUUAUUGGCUACAGAUCGACCGUCGAUACCUUCGACGAAAAUACAUGUCGCUCUACGAUAAACUCUAAUUAUUCCAAUACAUCAGCUGCAACUAUUGACUAAAUGUGUCGAUUCAAUUAUUAAAGGAUGCUACUUGUCUACGAUGUUGCAAAAUCAUUCAAGGAGGUGAAAUCAACCGUUCGUUCGUUCGCGCGUCCAUGGAGGUUGCUCCAUGCACACGCGUUUCCUUCUAUGAUCUCACAUAAAAAAGUUCGUCUAAUCAACGGGAAUCGUUGAUCGUACAAAAACCAUGAACAAAAAAUCUCACUACUCUUGCAUCAACCAUUAAACAAGUCAGCCCAAAGAAACGCUUCGCUCUUGUCGGUUCGGGAAGUGAAACCUACUUUCUUUGCAUACUUCAACAAACUACUCGUUUAUGUUAAACACAAAGGGAGACGUUGAAUACAAACGGAGAGGGUAGUUCACAGAAGUUCGUUAUAUUUCGAAAGUCGACGAAUACAGGAUCGCGCGAAUCUUCGGUUCUUCUUUUAAACGCUAGACCGAGGGAUGAGUAAUUUUCACUAAACGCGUGCAAAAAUAAUCCCCCUUUAUUGUCACUCACCUGUAGUCUCAAUCCGUUCGUUUUGCGUAAACGCAAAUAUUCUAUCGCUCACCCCUAUGAUCGAAAGUCAAUUACACGCACUCAUGCUCUGUUAAUUACAAAGUCGCGGAGCUCUCGGGAAAUAAAGGAACCAAGGGAGCUACGAGGGUACGCUACCAGCCGUCGGGGAAAUUCGAAAACGUUGACAAACGGCCAAUAGCGUAAAGGGAUCAAUUAGCUACUGGAAAUACUAAUAUUUAUAAAUAUGUACAUACACACGCGCCGCAAUCGAUACGGCGCUUCAUUUACACUGUAAAUACGGUGGAAAUGUUUAGUUCGGUGGAUCAGGUCCGCAUCUCGAAGAUUUCUUCCUCGAAAAAAAAUUCUUGCCGAUAAAUAUUCGAGGUAUUUCACCCCUCGUAGAUCGAAACUCAGGGCAGUUUUUCUACCUCGGGACAAGUGUUUCAUAUUUUAAGAACCCGAUGGAUAGGGGUGAAAAAUAAGAGAUAUCACUAAGCCAUAUUAGCAUGGAAUAAGAGUGUUUUUAAUGUUUUCAACAACAACAGGUACAGUAACCAGUCUACCUGCAGUAAGUACGUUGGUAAUUCUUUCCGUUUCUUUCACGCGCAUCCUUUCGUUCUCGCAGCCACUCACAUGUACACCAGACACGCACCCAACCCACGCACGCGUUCUCUCGCAGUUCCUUUCUUUUGUCUUCGUACCCGACUACCAAAUCCUUAUUACUGUCUUUUUGCCUCUUACCCAUUAAACGGAGUAAGUAAUUAAUUAUAUAAGUUCGCUACACAUCGUGUUAACUAUUCGGCUGUCUAGCUAGCUGACUAUACUAGUUACGUUACGGAUUUCGGGUUAACCUACUGGCUACGAUUUCGUGAUCUUUCCAAUAAACUGGAUCGCGUGUUCUAUAUGCAUUGAUCUCGGAUUAUUGUUCCGAGAAGCGAGUCUCGUGACGAACCGACACAGGAGAAAAGAAAGAUGGAAUAAAACGAAAUUUGAAUCGAAGGUAAUUCGAUGCUCUUAUUGGAAAGUCAGUGGAUCGUCGCCCGCCGGGAAUGCUUGCGGGGUGAGAAAUUGCGCUACGUCGAAGCUUCGUCCACAGAACACACGGAAAAAUAUCUUAAGAAUCGUAUACACGUCAACUCUCUAAGGAAUAACUUAUUUGGGGCGACUUUUUAGUGGAAUUCAAAGGAUUAUUUAAAAACUUUUCCUUUCGAUGCUACGGGGAUUUCAUCGACGCUACGAAUUUAAUUCACACUCAAAUUUUCUAUACUUCAAGCUUAGGCAAAAAUUUAGGAUUAGAAUUUUUAAGGUUCAAUUAUAAUAAAGAUUCGAUAAUAUAUCGUUGAAUAUAAAAUACAUAUUCGUGCUAUUUUAAUAGAACGAACUUGUUUAUAUUAUACUUAUAAACAAGUAGUUUUGAUUGACCGCAUCUAAUUGUAGAGCAAGUUAAAUACUUUUGUAUGUUACAAAAAUUAAAAUUCAACAAUCUAUGGCACUGAGAUGGUAGCUGACGUGAUUCU
rnacentral:lncRNA from 1 species